rnacentral:rRNA from 1 species
GAUAUUGGUAAAUGGGGGGAACCCUGAACCAGCGACACCGCGUGAGGGAAGAAGGUUUUCGGAUUGUCCACCUCUGUUGUCGGAGAAGAUAAUGACGGUACCCGAUGAUGAAGCUACGGCUAACUAGGUGCUGGCAGCCGCGGUACUACGUAGGUGGCAAGCGUUGUCCGGAAUUACUGGGUGUAAAGGGAGCGUAGGCGGGAAGGCAAGUUGAAUGUUAGAUCUAUCGGCUCAACCGAUAGCCGCGUUCAAAACUGUCUUUCUUGAGUGAAGUAGAGGCAAGCAGAAUUCCUAGUGUAGCGGUGAAAUGCGUAGAGAUUAGGAGGAAUACCAGUGGCGAAGGCAGCUUGCUGGGCUUUUACUGACGCUGAGGCUCGAAAGUGUGGGGAGCAAACA